GACGUAGGGCGCGAGCGUUGUCCGGAAUUAUUGGGCGUAAAGAGCUCGUAGGCGGUGUGUCACGUCGGCCGUGAAAACCUGCAGCUUAACUGUGGGCGUGCGGUCGAUACGGGCAUCACUGGAGUUCGGCAGGGGAGACUGGAAUUCCGCGUGUAGCAGUGAAAUGCGUAGAUAUCAAGAGGAACACCUGAGGUGAAGACGGGUUGCUAGGCUGACACUGACGCUGAGGCGCGAAAGCCAGGGGAGCAAACGGG
rnacentral:rRNA from 1 species